UGGAGAGAAGAAGAUUCAAAUUGGAACAACACAGGCAGAAGUUCAGCAGAUGAUCCAGGACUGACUGAAGAAGAUUGAGGAAAUCAGUCACUCUGCUGAGCUCAAUAAAGCGGCACGGUGGCGCAGUGGGUAGCGCUGUCGCCUCACAGCAAGAAUGGCCUGGGUUCGAUUCCCGGCCGGGCGACCAGGGUCAUUUCAUCACCUCCACCUCCUACAGGU